rfam:Erinaceus europaeus unplaced genomic scaffold scaffold01055, whole genome shotgun sequence
GUUCUCACAUCAGCAGAAAAUAUACUAAAAUCGGAAAGAUGCCGAGAUUAGCAUGGCCCCUGCGCAAGGAUGACAUGCAAAUCUAUGAAGUGUUUCAUAUUUUU